rnacentral:rRNA from 1 species
AUGGACGACAACACCAGCACGCUCAAGGCGCUCAUGGAGACCGUUCUCUCACGCCUCGACGAGCAGAAGGCCGACAACGAAAAGCGACUCGAGGUGCAGGCCGCCUUCAACGCGCAGGUCGCGCAAGAUCUGCGGGCGCUGUCCAAGCAGGUGGAUCUCACCCAGGCCGACGUCGACGAGACUCGCAAGGCGCUCGAGAGGUCGCCGUCGCCGCGCGGAUCGGGACCGGGCGCCGUCCUCAACCCGUCACCACCUCCACCCCCGCCGCCUCCUCUGCGCCCUCCACCCGUGCACCAACAACAACAGGGACCGCCACCGUCCCCACGCCUCGCAGAUCAGCGGCCGCCUCUGCUUCAGGCGCCGCUCCAGCAGCAGAACGAGCCACAACUCCACCAACACCACGACAACUACAUCAAGCCGCCCAAGCACGAUUUUCCGCGCUUCGAUGGCACGGCGCCGUACCUCUGGCUGGAUCGCUGCCGCGCCUACUUCGACCUCUACCGCGUGCCGCCGUCAAGCUGGGUGACCACGGCGACGCUGUACAUCGAGGGCCAGGCCGCGCACUGGCUACGGGCAUUUCGUCAAACACAUGCUGGCCUGGGCUGGGAGGCGUUCUGCGCAGCGAUCAUCGAGGAAUUCGGCGCCGACGAGUUCGAGCUAGAGAUGCAGAAGCUUCUCCAACUCCGGUAG